GUACAGGAUGGGCCCGCGUCUGAUUAGCUAGUUGGUGAGGUAAUGGCUCACCAAGGCGACGAUCAGUAGCCGGCCUGAGAGGGUGAACGGCCACACUGGGACUGAGACACGGCCCAGACUCCUACGGGAGGCAGCAGUGGGGAAUCUUCCGCAAUGGACGAAAGUCUGACGGAGCAACGCCGCGUGUAUGAUGAAGGUCUUCGGAUUGUAAAGUACUGUCUUUGGGGAAGAAUGUUGUGCUUAAGGGAAGAAAAAAAUGACGGUAGCCAAGGAGGAAGCCCCGGCUAACUACGUGCCAGCAGCCGCGGUAAUACGUAGGUGGCAAACGUUGUCCGGAAUUACUGGGCGUAAAGGGCGAGUAGGUGGUUUGCUAAGUCAGAAGUGAAAACUUCGGGCUCAACUCCGGCGCUGCAUCUGAAACUGGUAGACUUGAGUGCAAGAGAGGGAAGUGGAAUUCCUAGUGUAGCGGUGAAAUGCGUAGAUAUUAGGAGGAACACCAGUGGCGAAGGCGACUUCCUGGCUUGUAACUGACACUGAGGCGCGAAAGCGUGGGGAUCAAACAGGAUUAGAUACCCUGGUAGUCCACGCCGUAAACGAUGAGUGCUAGGUGUCGGGGGUAUCGACCCCCUCGGUGCCACAGCUAACGCAAUAAGCACUCCGCCUGGGGAGUCAAGACUGAAACUCAAAGGAAUUGACGGGGGCCCGCACAAGCGGUGGAGUAUGUGGUUUAAUUCGACGCAACGCGAAGAACCUUACCAAGGCUUGACAUCCUGUGACGUCUAUGGAAACAUAGAGUUCUUAGUUUACUAAGACACAGAGACAGGUGGUGCAUGGUUGUCGUCAGCUCGUGUCGUGAGAUGUUGGGUUAAGUCCCGCAACGAGCGCAACCCCCCUACAGCUAGUUGCCAGCACAUAAAGGUGGGAACUCUAGCAGAACUGCCGUUGACAAAACGGAGGAAGGUGGGGAUGACGUCAAAUCAUCAUGCCCCUUAUGUCUUGGGCUACACACGUACUACAAUGGCCUGAACAGAGGGAAGCGAAACUGCGAAGUUAAGCGAACCCCUUAAAACAGGUCCCAGUUCGGAUUGUAGGCUGCAACUCGCCUACAUGAAGUUGGAAUCGCUAGUAAUCGCAGGUCAGCAUACUGCGGUGAAUACGUUCCCGGGCCUUGUACACACCGCCCGUCACACCACGGGAGUUGGUUGUACCUGAAGCC
rnacentral:rRNA from 1 species